UAGCCAAGUGGUUAAGGCUACGGAUCGCCAAUCCGGAGACGACGGGUUCGAUUCCCGU
rnacentral:tRNA from 1 species